GAUGAAGAACGUAGCGAAAUGCGAUACGUAAUGUGAAUUGCAGAAUUCAGUGAAUCAUCGAAUCUUUGAACGCAUAUUGCGCUCUCUGGUAUUCCGGAGAGCAUGCUUGUUUGAGUAUCAGUAAACACCUCAACUCCCUUUUCUUUUUUGAAAUGGGAGCUGGACUUGAGUGAUCCCAACGCUUUUCUCACCGGAAAGUGGCGGGUUACUUGAAAUGCAGGUGCAGCUGGACUUUUCUCUGAGCUAUAAGCAUAUCUAUUUAGUCUGCCUAAAAACAGAUUAUUAGCUUUGCUGCAGCUAACAUAAAGGAGAUUAGUUCUUGUGCUGACUGAUGCAGGAUUCACAGAGACAGCUUCGGCUGACUUUGUAAACUCGAUCUCAAAUCAAGUAAGACUACCCGCUGAACUUAAGCAUAUCAAUAAGCGGAGGA
rnacentral:misc_RNA from 1 species